rnacentral:tRNA from 1 species
CGGGUGUAGUUCAAUGGUAGAACACCAGCCUUCCAAGCUGGAUACGUGGGUUCGAUUCCC